UACAGAGGUCUCAAGCGUUGUUCGGAUUCAUUGGGCGUAAAGGGUGCGUAGGCGGCGCGGUAAGUCGGGUGUGAAAUCUUGGAGCUUAACUCCGAACUGCAUUCGAUACUGCCGUGCUUUGAGGACUGGAGAGGAGACUGGAAUUUACGGUGUAGCGGUGAAAUGCGUAGAUAUCGUAAGGAAGACCAGUGGCGAAGGCGGGUCGUCCUGGACAGUUCCUGACGCUGAGGCACGAAGGCCGGG
rnacentral:rRNA from 1 species